AGUUUUUCUGGAUUGUCUAAUUUUACUUGUUUAUACAGUGUUGUUGAUGAUAGUGAGAUGGAAACAUCAAAUGCUUCCAGUGCAUCAGGUGCUCUUCCAGAAGGGCUUACCCACGAGCUCCCAAGCGCUGACAAAUAUCCGGAAUCACUGGUUGUUGGAGAGGCGAGCCCUCUGGUAGAUGAUCUUGAGGAUCUACAGCGGCAGCUUGAUGCCCUUAACGCGUCAUGACCUUCCAGAAACAUAGACCUUGCAAUUUUAGUUGAACCCUUUUUUUCUGGUGCGAAGGGUAUUUAUGAGUAACAUUAGCUUCCCUGACUCCCUUCCGAAAAGGAAAAAGGGUACUUGGGGUUCGGAAAAGGAAAAAGAGAUAUAAUGGGGGAAAGGGGUCUUGAUCUAAUUACGAGUGACCUUCAUUUCUUAUUAACUUAACCCACAUUCCUCCAUAUGCUACAGAAUUUAACUUUACUUUUCUAGUGCCUGCAAUCUUUGGUGACAAAA